rfam:Williamsia sterculiae strain CPCC 203464 genome assembly, contig: Ga0104459_111
AAGAUGUUGUGGAGGCCCGAACCCACUUCAGUUGAAAAUGGAGGGGAUGAGUUGUGGGUAGGGGUGAAAGGCCAAUCAAACUCCGUGAUAGCUGGUUCUCCCCGAAAUGCAUUUAGGUGCAGCGUUGCGUGUUUCUUACCGGAGGUAGAGCUACUGGAUGGCGGAUGGGCCCUAUCAGGUUACUGAUGUCAGCCAAACUCCGAAUGCCGGUAAGUGAGAGCGUGGCAGUGAGACUGCGGGCGAUAAGGUUCGUUGUCGAGAGGGAAACAGCCCAGAUCGCCGGCUAAGGCCCCUAAGCGUGUACUAAGUGGAAAAGGAUGUGGGGUCGCAGAGACAACCAGGAGGUUGGCUUAGAAGCAGCCACCCUUGAAAGAGUGCGUAAUAGCUCACUGGUCAAGUGAUCCUGCGCCGACAAUGUAGCGGGGCUCAAGUACACCGCCGAAGCCGCGGCACUCACACAUGUACAUCCACAUGGUUCUACGGGACUGUGUGUAGUGGUGUGGGUGGGUAGGGGAGCGUCCUGCAUCCCUGGAAGCCACGGAGUGAUCCUGUGGUGGAGGAUGUGGGAGUGAGAAUGCAGGCAUGAGUAGCGAAAGCAGAGUGAGAAACUCUGCCGCCGAAUGACCAAGGGUUCCUGGGCCAGGUUAAUCCGCCCAGGGUGAGUCGGGACCUAAGGCGAGGCCGACAGGCGUAGUCGAUGGACAACGGGUUGAUAUUCCCGUACCCGUGUAUCCGCGUCCGUGAUGAAUCAGCUGUACUAACCACCCAAAUGGUGGCCGAUCUCCUUCGGGAGACGGUGCGCCGGCUGCGUGGGACCUCGGUUGGUAGUAGUCAAGCGAUGGGGUGACGCAGGAAGGUAGUGGGGCCAGUCAGUGGUUGUACUGGUGUAAGCCUGUAGGACGAGGCAUAGGUAAAUCCGUGUCUCAUGAUGUCUGAGAGGUGAUGCGUAGCCGUUGAGGCGAAUUCCAUGAUCCUAUGCUGCCGAGAAAAGCCUCUAGCGAGUUGGUACACGGCCCGUACCCCAAACCGACACAGGUGGUCAGGUAGAGAAUACUAAGGCGAUCGAGAGAACUGUGGUUAAGGAACUCGGCAAAAUGCCCCCGUAACUUCGGGAGAAGGGGGACCACUGUUGGUGAACACCCUCGCGGUGGGAGCUGGUGGUGGUCGCAGAGACCAGAGAGAAGCGACUGUUUACUAAAAACACAGGUCCGUGCGAAGUCGUAAGACGAUGUAUACGGACUGACGCCUGCCCGGUGCUGGAAGGUUAAGAGGACCGGUUAAUCACUUCGGUGGUGAAGCUGAGAAUUUAAGCCCCAGUAAACGGCGGUGGUAACUAUAACCAUCCUAAGGUAGCGAAAUUCCUUGUCGGGUAAGUUCCGACCUGCACGAAUGGCGUAACGACUUCUCUGCUGUCUCAACCACAGACUCGGCGAAAUUGCAGUACGAGUAAAGAUGCUCGUUACGCGCGGCAGGACGAAAAGACCCCGGGACCUUCACUAUAGCUUGGUAUUGGUGUUCGGUUCGGUUUGUGUAGGAUAGGUGGGAGACUGUGAAACCCGCACGCCAGUGUGGGUGGAGUCGUUGUUGAAAUACCACUCUGAUCGUAUUGGACAUCUAACCUCGGACCCUGAUCGGGUUCAGGGACAGUGCCUGGUGGGUAGUUUAACUGGGGCGGUUGCCUCCCAAAAUGUAACGGAGGCGCCCAAAGGUUCCCUCAGCCUGGUUGGCAAUCAGGUGUUGAGUGUAAGUGCACAAGGGAGCUUGACUGUGAGACGUACAUGUCGAGCAGGGACGAAAGUCGGGACUAGUGAUCCGGCACCAACGUGUGGAAGUGGUGUCGCUCAACGGAUAAAAGGUACCCCGGGGAUAACAGGCUGAUCUUCCCCAAGAGUCCAUAUCGACGGGAUGGUUUGGCACCUCGAUGUCGGCUCGUCGCAUCCUGGGGCUGGAGUAGGUCCCAAGGGUUGGGCUGUUCGCCCAUUAAAGCGGCACGCGAGCUGGGUUUAGAACGUCGUGAGACAGUUCGGUCUCUAUCCGCCGCGCGCGUAAGAAACUUGAGGAAACCUGUCCCUAGUACGAGAGGACCGGGACGGACGAACCUCUGGUGUGCCAGUUGUUCCACCAGGAGCACCGCUGGUUAGCUACGUUCGGAAGGGAUAACCGCUGAAAGCAUCUAAGCGGGAAGCCUGUUCCAAGAUGAGGUUUCUCACCCCCACCGCGGGGUUAAGGCCCCCCACAGACCAUGGGGUUGAUAGGCCAGAACUGGAAGCCCAGCAAUGGGUGCAGGUGACUGGUACUAAUCGGCCGAGGACUUACCACA